UUUUAAAUGGCCGCAGUAUUUUGACUGUGCAAAGGUAGCAUAAUCAUUAGUUUUUUAAUUAAAAGCUUGUAUGAAAGGCUGGACGAGGUAAAAUCUGUCUCUAUUUAAAUUAUAUUAGAAUUUAACUUUUAAGUUAAAAGGCUUAAAUAUUAUUAAAAGACGAGAAGACCCUAUAGAUCUUUAUAGUUUGUUAAAUUAAAUUAAUUUAGAAAUAUUAAUGUUUUAUUUAAUUAAAUUAUUUUAUUGGGGUAAUAAAAAGAUUGAAUUAAUUCUUUUUUAAAAUAAACAUUAAUUUAUGAAUAUUAAUGAUCCAGUUUUACUGAUUAUAAGAUUAAGUUACCUUAGGGAUAACAGCGUAAUUUUUUUAGAGAGUUCAUAUCGAUAAAAAAGUUUGCGACCUCGAUGUUGGAUUAAAGAUUAUUUUAGGUGUAGAAGCUUAAUAAUUUUGGUCUGUUCGACCAUUAAAUCUUUACAUGAUCUGAGUUCAGACCGGCGUAAGCCAGGUCGGUUUCUAUCUUUAAUAAAACAAAAUAUUUUAGUACGAAAGGACCAAAUAUUUGAUAUAUUUAUAUUUAAUUUAUUGAAUAUUA
rnacentral:rRNA from 1 species